CUUGCCCCAAUCCCCUCUCUCUCUCUUUAUCUUUCCAUUCACAAUUUCCCUCUCUCUUCGCCCCCUAACCUCUCUCUAUGUUUGAUCCAAAGAAGGGAGGGAGCUGAAACGAUGCCCUCCCUACCCACGCACGCCCUCUCUCUCUCUCUCUCUCUCUCUCUCUCUCUCUCUCUAUCUCUGAAUCGAGGUAUGCCCCUCUCUCUCCCUCUCUUCCUUGCAUCAAUUGAGUUCCUUCGGGGGGUAGGAUACCCUACUUUUCUCCACUUCGAAGGGAGAAAAAGAAAAACCCCAAUUCUUCCAAGAGCUUUUUCGAUCCUCUUCAAUGGUGAUUUUCAUCAACUGAUGCAUAAUCUCGACCGAAGCUCUCCAUCUCUUCCUCGAUGGAGGAAAGCCACAAGCUCUACCUUGAGAUCUUCAUCCAAGAAUCCCAGCCGUUGGAGGCUAGGAUUUCUCAUCUAAGCCUUGAUGGAGAACAUGAUUAGGAAGGGAGCUGACGUGAAUGGACCAACUUCAUGUGGGUGAGAUCCACACUCUACAUAAGGUGCAACACACUGUGCUUGGACCAUUACCUAAAAAUCAAAAAACCUAAAGGCCUUCCAUGUAUGCAGAAGAUCAAUCCUUGUUUCAGGAUGAGUUGUUGUGUGACAGGUGGCAGUUUUAACUAGCAGAGCCAUAAACUUACAUAUUCCUAACUACCCAAGUCUCCCAUCUCAAUUGAUGUACCAGGUUCACAAUGUUACACUACAUGAAGAGAGAAAUGCUGAUGAGAUUUAGACCCAAACGACUCUUCAAUUGGUGAACUCUAUAAGCAGAAUUUGUUGUUAAUGCUGACUGAAU